rnacentral:rRNA from 1 species
AUUGAACGCUGGCGGCAGGCCUAACACAUGCAAGUCGAGCGGAGCGGCGGCCGGGUGAGUAAUGCCUAGGAAUCUGCCUGGGAGUGGGGGAUAACGUCCGGAAACGGGCGCUGAUACCACAUACUAUAAGAUGAGGCUAGGUCGGAUAAGGUAGUGGGUGGGGUAAAGGCCUACCAAGGCGACGACCCGUAACUGGUCUGAGAUGAUGAUCAGUCACACUGUGACUUAGACACGGCCCAGACUCCUACGGGAGGAAGCAGUGGGGAAGAUUGGACAAUGGGCUAAAGCCUACUCCAUCCAUGCCGCGUGUGUGAAGAAGGUCUUCGGAUUGUAAAGCACUUUAAGUUGGGAGGCGUUACCAACAGAAUAAGCACCGGCUAACUUCGCGCCAGCAGCCGCGGUAAUUC